ACAGCAGCAGCCGCGGGAAUACAGAGGGUGCGAGCGUUAAUCGGAUUUACUGGGCGUAAAGCGUGCGUAGGCGGCUUCUUAAGUCGGAUGUGAAUUCCCUGAGCUUAACUUAGGAAUUGCAUUCGAUACUGGGAAGCUAGAGUAUGGGAGAGGAUGGUAGAAUUCCAGGUGUAGCGGUGAAAUGCGUAGAGAUCUGGAGGAAUACCGAUGGCGAAGGCAGCCAUCUGGCCUAAUACUGACGCUGAGGUACGAAAGCAUGGGGAGCAAACAGGAUUAGAUACCCGCGUAGUCCCUGUCUCUUAUAC
rnacentral:rRNA from 1 species